AUGUUGUUUUACAUUCAAAUCUGGAUGCUCUGCUAUCCACAUAUUGUGCACACUGGGUUCAGAAUGGCUUCAUCUCAGUCUAUUAAGAUGUUCCAACUUUUUCCUGAUUCAAAUGUAUAUAGACGCAUUUUAGUGUGCUUAUUCACUUAUUUCAAUCUGUAUGUAGUCCAUAUUGAAAUAUCCAAAACAUCUUAUAUUCACAAACAGAGGGAGUACUUAGAAUCAUUGCAUCGACAAUCUGACAGCACCAUUGCCAAACAUAUCCUGGUUGCACAAGUGCACAACUCACACCCAGUGUAG
rnacentral:rRNA from 1 species